AUAAAAAUAAUUUGUUAAAUUAAGAUUCAUGAUUUCAUGUACUAAAUUUAUUAACCAAUGAUGUGUUUGUGUUUGUGAAUCACAUUAGUUUGUGCGUAACUAUAUAAAAAUUAUAAUAAACAAAUUAUAUGAACUUCAAUCCUGACAAAAGCAGAACGAAGGCGUAAAUUUGAAUGAAGUCUGAGCUGGUUGGUCUAUCCGCUGGAACGGCCUGACGAAAGAACUUCCUGACUUGUGAUUUCAAUUAUUAUUGAAAUGUAAUUAACGCCCCAAAUAAAAAUAUCUAUAUUACAAAACUGUUAAAGUACGUGUUAGGGCCGCUUUUACAAACGUCCGUAAACCUUAUAACCACGAAUAAAUUUCGAAAAAUAGUUGUUAAAAUUUAGCCUUAGGGACUUAAAAAUUGGACUAUUGUCAAAGGUUAGAAGCAAAAUUUUGAUAUUUUUUUGCUUUUCUGAACAGUCUGUAGACAAGUAAUCAAACCAACAAAACUGAUGUAUUUAUACAGACUCAUCCCGAAAUACUGUGUCUGUUAGCAAUCUGAAUUUAAAUUUUAAAGGAUACCAAUAGUGUACACUUUCAGGUAACAAUUCAAUAAUUUAAUCUGAUGCCAACAUACUCAGUUUCUCUGGAUCAUUGUGUAUAUUUAGACAAUGUAUUUACAUAUAUUAUUACAUCUGAGUAUGUUUAUGAAGAACAAUUCGAGUUAAAUUAAUUUUGCUUAUACAUUCCAGCACGUUAUUAUUUUUUUAAUAAAUUUUUAUUGGAAA